rnacentral:rRNA from 1 species
AUCAGGUAGGGAUACCCGCUGAACUUAAGCAUAUCAAUAAGCGGAGGAAAAGAAACCAACCGGGAUUGCCCUAGUAACGGCGAGUGAAGCGGCAAGAGCUCAAAUUUGAAAGCUGGCCCCCUCGGGGUCCGCAUUGUAAUUUGCAGAGGAUGCUUCGGGAGCGGUCCCCAUCUAAGUGCCCUGGAACGGGCCGUCAUAGAGGGUGAGAAUCCCGUAUGGGAUGGGGUGCCCGCGCCCGUGUGAAGCUCCUUCGACGAGUCGAGUUGUUUGGGAAUGCAGCUCUAAUUGGGUGGUAAAUUUCAUCUAAAGCUAAAUAUUGGCCGGAGACCGAUAGCGCACAAGUAGAGUGAUCGAAAGAUGAAAAGCACUUUGAAAAGAGAGUUAAACAGCACGUGAAAUUGUUGAAAGGGAAGCGCUUGCGAUCAGACUCGCCCACGGGGUUCAGCCGGCAUUCGUGCCGGUGUACUUCCCCGCGGGCGGGCCAGCGUCGGUUUGGGCGGUCGGUCAAAGGCCCCUGGAAUGUAACGCCUCUCGGGGCGUCUUAUAGCCAGGGGUGCCAUGCGACCUGCCCGGACCGAGGAACGCGCUUCGGCUCGGACGCUGGCAUAAUGGUCGUAAGCGACC